UCGUAAAUAAGAAUUUGUUCUUAACUGACUUGCCUAGUUAAUUAUAUAUACAUUUUUUUAUGUAAGUCCUGUAAUUGACAAUUUUUUUAGGGUUGGUCUUUUAAUUAUUAUUUUUUUACCUGGUUUAAGUGACUUGAGUCUGAGCAAGAGAGGCCCAGCAGUAGGCAGGGCCCAACAGGAAUGAUGAGACCUCCCCAUCCAGCAAUAGAGACCCUGUUCCCCCUCCAGGAGCAGGAAAGCUUGUGGAUGACUAGGCCUACCCGGGACCCCUGUCCCAGCCCUGGCCCUCACCCAAUCUCAGAUUCCGGACCCAACGUCAUAAUGGAGGAGAUUAUAGGAGAUUGAACAAGCAGACAAAGGGAAUUUAAAUCCAGCCAUCAACUCACCACAUCCAAAACCACUGCAGCUAGGUUCUCAACUGGAGUUAUCCCAGCACACCUAUCUGAGCUGCAAAGGCCACUGAGAGCCCAGAGGAGCAACAAGAAGAUCCAGGAGGACCUCCCACCUGUCAGUCAGAUCAACACUGUUGAUCUACACAACACACAUUUCACAUGACAACAUACACAAGAUUCUCUCUUGCGCCGUCUCGCCCUCUCAGACCUGCGAACGUUCGCUCCACCUGGACAGCCACAACGUGUGACUUCAUCUCCUAAUAUCUGACAGGAGCCAUGGUCAUAAAGAGAACACAGAGCAGCGUCCGGUGACAGUCACUGUACUGCCCCAGCCGGGCUGGGAAAGACGCCAGCAUCACAGACUUGCGGGUUAGUGAGGGCUUCGCUCUGAAAGAGGAGGCCACGGUGAGUAACAGAACUGUGUGGAUGUAUGUUUUACAGUUGAGUAGAAGAUGUUUCCUAGGACCCAUGUCUAUCUACUGGCUCUAGUUAUCUGCCCUCUCUCUGUCCCUGUGUCCUGUGCUAUGGAGUGUCCCCCAUUCUUAAACUAGAGGAGUUCUCCAACUGACUCCAAGGGCUUUCAAAACAGGACACCUGACUCAGAAAACCAGACCCCCUCCUUUGACCGGUUUGUCUCCCCUCCCAAGC